UAGGGAAUCUUCCGCAAUGGACGCAAGUCUGACGGAGCAACGCCGCGUGAGUGAAGAAGGCUUUCGGUUCGUAAAACUCUGUUGUUAGAGAAGAACAGCGCAUAGAGUAACUGUUAUGCGUGUGACGGUAUCUAACCAGAAAGCCACGGCUAACUACGUGCCAGCAGCCGCGGUAAUACGUAGGUGGCAAGCGUUGUCCGGAUUUAUUGGGCGUAAAGCGAGCGCAGGCGGUCAAUUAAGUCUGAUGUGAAAGCCCCCGGCUCAACCGGGGAGGGUCAUUGGAGACUGGGUGGCUUGAGUGCAGAAGAGGAGAGGGGAAUUCCAGGUGUAGCGGUGAAAUGCGUAGAUAUAUGGAGGAACACCAGUGGCGAAGGCGACUCACUGGGCAGUAAAUGACGCUGAGGUUUGAAAGAGUGGGUAGCAAACAGG
rnacentral:rRNA from 1 species